UUGGGGCGAGGCACAGUUCUCCUAAAUUCUGUCAUACCCGUUAACUUCCUUGUCUGACAGCACAUCUAUCUGCCUACACGCAGAAAAGCACCAUCUUGUGAGUGAGAAUGGACUGGUGUGUGCUUUCACUUCUGCUCCUUAUGCUGGGCAAACAUGGGCUGUGUCAGCAAGAGGAAGUUUGCUCAAAGUCAGCGAUCACUUCGUGUAAAGACUGCAUCACAUCUGGGCCGUUCUGCUCAUGGUGUAAGGAGCUGAAUUUUACCAAAGGUGGAGAACAGGAAGCAGCCCGCUGUGAAACUCGAGCAAAGCUGAUGGCAAGAGGCUGCAAAAGAGAAGAGAUUAUUUCUCCUCAAAACACCGAGGAGAUUAAGCAACAAGACCCUUUAUCCAAGUCGUCUGGCAGUACAGAACCAGUCCAAAUGACUCCACAAAAAAUCGACCUGAAACUGCGACCUGGGCUUCCACACAAAUUCAAAGUGUCCUUUAAGAGGGCUGAAGGUUACCCUGUGGAUCUUUACUACUUGAUGGAUCUCUCCUACUCCAUGAAGGACGAUCUGGCUAAUGUAAAAAGACUGGGAGGAAAUCUUUUUGAUGCUUUGAAUAAAAUUACUAAAGAUGCUAAAAUAGGAUUUGGGGCCUUUGUUGAUAAAACCGUCCUUCCUUACACCAACACCAACGAGGAGAAACUCAAGAAACCAUGUGAUGAAAGUGAGACUCAAUGCCAGGCUGCCUUUGGCUACAGACAUGUGCUCAGUAUGACACCGAGUCGGGACGUGUUCAGACAGAAGGUGGCAGAGCAGUACAUCUCUGGGAACUUGGACUCUCCUGAAGGAAGCCUUGAUGCCAUGAUGCAGGCUGCUGUUUGCGGGGAUAAAAUAGGCUGGAGGAACAGCAGCACUCGGUUAAUUGUACUCGCCACGGAUGCUGGAUUCCACAUGGCUGGGGAUGGAAAACUAGCAGGCAUUCUGGAACCCAAUGAUGAACUGUGCCACAUGACAGGCAACCUGUAUGAAAAAAGUAAUGACAUGGACUACCCGUCUGUUGGACAAUUAGCUAUGCAGCUGGAAAAAAACAAUAUUCAGCCAAUAUUUGCUGUAACAGAAAACGUGAAUAAUGUUUACAAGGAACUCACUAAAAUGAUUCCAAAGUCAGUGGUGGGAGUCUUAUCAUCAGAUUCCAAUAAUGUUGUUCAGUUAAUUGAAAGUGCCUACAAUAACUUGACAUCUAAAGUCACAGUGACUCAUGACAUUCUUCCUGACAACGUACGAGUUGAGUACUUGGCACUGUGUGAACACCGAAUAAAUGAGGGCCCCAAUAAAGGCGUCUGCGAUCAAGUGCAAGCGGAAAAAGAGAUAUCUUUUGAGGUUACUGUGACUGUGGACAAAUGCAUGGAGGAAGAAAAGUCCUUCACUAUCAGCCCACUGGGAAUUAAAGACAAACUGACGGUAACCAUUUCUACCAACUGUGAGUGUCAAUGUAAUGACCCCGAAGGCAGCAAUCACAUUCACUGCAACAGUACAGGAAGCAUCACCUGUGGUAUUUGCAAAUGCAAUCAAGGUUUUGUGGGUCAGUUCUGCAACUGUGCUGUUGGGACUAAAGAUGAAAGCUCUCUUCGAGCAACCUGUCGGAGGCAGAAUGGGACGGAGUGUGAGGGUCGAGGAGAUUGUGUGUGUGGCGCAUGCCAGUGCCACACUACAGAGCAAGGAACCUCUUACCAUGGAAAAUACUGCGAGUGUGAUGAUGAACACUGUGAGAAGUAUGAUAACAAGCUGUGUGCAGGAAAUGGUAAAUGCAACUGCGGACAGUGCCGAUGCGAUCCAGGUUACCAAGGCAGCGCUUGUCAGUGCAAAGUUUCUGACGAGGGCUGCCGUACACUAGACGGCUCUAUUUGCUAUGGCAGAGGGAAUUGUGAAUGUAACCAAUGCAAAUGCAAAGGUGGAUAUCAAGGUCCACAAUGCAAGGAUUGCAGUGGCUGUCCUUCUGCAUGCCUGACGAAAUUGAGUUGCAUUAGCUGCCUGUCAUUGAGUAAAUCGAAAGAGAACUGCAUCAAUGUCUGCAACAAUACCAUUUCAGAAUAUAAGAAGGUGGAAAAAUUCAACUUGCAGAGCAAAGAAUGCCACCAGAAGGACAGUGAGGGGUGCUGGAUCAAAUUCAAGCUGGAGCAGUUAACUGGAAUGGAUAAUUACAAUGCUGAAAUUCUGACAAAGAGAGAAUGCCCUGAACCACCCAACGUCAUCGCCAUCAUAGCAGGUUCCCUUGCAGCUGUGGCUGUAAUUGGGAUUCUGUUGCUGAUGCUGGUCAAGUUACUGAUCCACAUGAAGGACCUGAAGGAGUUCAAGAAAUUUGAGAAUGAAAAGAAGAAAUCCAAGUGGGCAAAUGCUGACAAUCCGCUGUUCCAGAAUCCCACCACUACCGUGGCGAACCCUCUGUUUACUGGAGAGUGAAGACCCUCUGCUACAUCUUGACAUUUAUUCAAAGCUUUGCUUGAAACAUAAGAUGCUCUCAGUGCUUUCAUUUAUUUGAUUUAUGUGAUUUUAUGAUUAUGUUGUAUUAAAAUCUACUUAACUUUGUAAAAUAUGUAUUUUUGAGGAUCGAGUACGGUUGGUUUGAGGAGCUCGUAUAAACCUAAUUGCUAAUAUUAUAGUAGGUCUAUUAGUUUAAAAUGACAUUUUCUGCUGUUUAUGGAGACUGUACAGUUUAUCUGAUGUCGCAGUUUGGAGAAUUGCACCAUUUAUUUUCAUGAAAUGCAAAGUCUUAGUACAAAUAAACUCAUCAGAAUAUGACCACUUGCCUUAAA